rnacentral:rRNA from 1 species
GGAAUAUUGCACAAUGGGGGAAACCCUGAUGCAGCCAUGCCGCGUGUGUGAAGAAGGCCUUCGGGUUGUAAAGCACUUUCAGUAGGGAGGAAAGGGUGUAGUUUAAUACGCUAUAUCUGUGACGUUACCUACAGAAGAAGGACCGGCUAACUCCGUGCCAGCAGCCGCGGUAAUACGGAGGGUCCGAGCGUUAAUCGGAAUUACUGGGCGUAAAGCGUGCGCAGGCGGUUUGUUAAGCGAGAUGUGAAAGCCCUGGGCUCAACCUAGGAAUAGCAUUUCGAACUGGCGAACUAGAGUCUUGUAGAGGGGGGUAGAAUUCCAGGUGUAGCGGUGAAAUGCGUAGAGAUCUGGAGGAAUACCGGUGGCGAAGGCGGCCCCCUGGACAAAGACUGACGCUCAUGCACGAAAGCGUGGGGAGCAAACAGGAUUAGAUACCCUGG